CCUACGGGUGGCAGCAGUGGGGAAUAUUGGACAAUGGGCGAAAGCCUGAUCCAGCCAUGCCGCGUGUGUGAAGAAGGCCUUCGGGUUGUAAAGCACUUUCAGUGGGGAAGAAAGCCUUGGGGCUAAUACCCUCGAGGAAGGACAUCACCCACAGAAGAAGCACCGGCUAACUCCGUGCCAGCAGCCGCGGUAAUACGGAGGGUGCGAGCGUUAAUCGGAAUUACUGGGGCGUAAAGCGCGCGUAGGCGGUCUGAUAAGCCGGUUGUGAAAGCCCCGGGCUCAACCUGGGAACGGCAUCCGGAACUGUCAGGCUAGAGUGCAGGAGAGGAAGGUAGAAUUCCCGGUGUAGCGGUGAAAUGCGUAGAGAUCGGGAGGAAUACCAGUGGCGAAGGCGGCCUUCUGGACUGACACUGACGCUGAGGUGCGAAAGCGUGGGUAGCAAACAGGAUUAGAUACCCCAGUAGUC
rnacentral:rRNA from 1 species